rnacentral:pre_miRNA from 2 species
CGAUGGUGUCAUGGUCAUUGUUGACCGUUCAUAAGAACCCUGCAAUUGCAAUGCAUUGCAGCUUGUGUGGGGUUCAUAUAACGGUUAACAGAGAUCAUUGACAUCAAAGA